rnacentral:rRNA from 1 species
ACGGGAGGCAGCAGUGGGGAAUAUUGCACAAUGGGGGAAACCCUGAUGCAGCGACGCCGCGUGAGUGAUGAAGUAUUUUGGUAUGUAAAGCUCUAUCAGCAGGGAAGAUAAUGGCGGUACCCGACUAAGAAGCACCGGCUAAAUACGUGCCAGCAGCCGCGGUAAUACGUAUGGUGCAAGCGUUAUCCGGAUUUACUGGGUGUAAAGGGUGCGUAGGUGGCAAGGCAAGUCUGAAGUGAAAGCCUGGGGCUCAACCCCGGAACUGCUUUGGAAACUGUUUAGCUAGAGUACAGGAGAGGAAAGCGGAAUUCCUAGUGUAGCGGUGAAAUGCGUAGAUAUUAGGAGGAACACCAGUGGCGAAGACGGCUUUCUGGACUGUAACUGACACUGAGGCACGAAAGCGUGGGGAGCAAACAGGAUUAGAUACCCUGGUA